rnacentral:lncRNA from 1 species
GACAAUUAGUAAUAAAUCAUUAUAAUUUCACAUAUAAUUCAAUUUAUCAAUUUAUAUAUAUCAAAACUUAUAUAAUUUGUAAUAACUUCCCUCUUUACCGAAUAAUCAAUUGAACAUUAAUAUAUCCAAUCAUCACUUUCCUCAAUGCACAUAUACAUCAAAGGCUGAAUACAUAUAUAUUCAAAUAUGCAAUCACAUAAUUCAUAUUUCACAUAACUUCAUAUCAUCAAUUCAAGUAUACAACUUACCUUAUUUUCAAAUAGGUAAUCAACGAUCACAUACCUGGUCACUUAACCUGAUUUAUACAUUCGUACACAACUUAUCUUUGCCCGUUGAACCAUUCAGAAUUAAAAAGGAUACUCGGAUAGUCGAAAGACUCGUACAAUGCCAAUGUCCCAAACGUGGUCUUACAUGUAAUCACAUAUCAAUGCCACUGUCCCUGACAGGGUCUUACACGAAUCAAAUACGAUGCCAAUGUCCCAGACAUGGUCUUACACGUAAACACAAGUCGAUGCCAACGUCCCAGACGUGGUCUUACACGAUAACACAUAUCGGAAAUCCUAGGUCAUGACAUAUGUAUCCUAUCUAUUCCUAAGGUUCGUACGGGCUCUCGGACAACAUAUCUCGAUCGAAUGAAACACGAAAUAAAACUUCCUGGCUUAUCACACAUUCGGCCAAUACACAUAUAUAUCCACAAAAUUCAAUUCAACAAAUAACAUAUAUAUAUUUGCAAAUUCAACAACAUUUAUAUGCUAAUAGACUUACCUCGGAUGUCGUCGACUGUUAAAUCGGCUACUCGACCACUUUUGUAUUUCCCCGAUCCAAAUCCGAUUUCUUUAAUUCUUGAUCUAAGCAUAUUCAAAUUAAGUUUAUUUAAACAUCAUUCUAUUCAAUUUAACCUAAAAACACAUAAAUAGGCAAAUUACAAUUUUGCCCCUAACAUUUCACACUUUUUACAAUUUAGUCCUUUUUGCUCAAAACACAAAAUACACAAAAUUUGACUUCACUCCUUAAGGGCCGAAUAUUCCUAGUGUCCAUACAAGCCCACAUAUUUCAUUUAUUUCAAAUUUUAGUCCCUCAAAAAUUUAUUUUUACAAUUAAACCCUAAUUACUCAAAUUCAUCAAAAAUUCAAAGACAAAACAUGUUAAUCUUUCACAUAUCUUUCAUAUUCCAUCAUUAACUAUCACAAAGCUCAAGCAUUCAUCAAUGGCAUUUCUCAAAAUCAUCAACAAUUCACAAAAUUAAGAUAUGGGUUUUGAAGUAUUCAAAGCAAUGAUCUCAAAAACGUAAAAAUUAUCAAAAACCGAACAAAACCCAACCUUGAAUUAAGCUUCAAAAUGGCCAAAUGUUUCAAGCUUUCAAACCUUGUUUUUCUUUUCUACAUUCGGUGAAGAAAGAUGAACAUAAAAUGGUGGCUUUUAAUGUUUUGUUUUAUUAUAACAUAUAUUAUUAUAUUAUUAUUAUUUUAACUUUUAUUUUAUAUAUAUAAAAAUCACAUAUCAUCAUUAUGCCAUCCACUACCUAUUACUAUUGGCUAAAUUACAACAUAAGGCCUCAAACUUAUAAAGACAACAACAAUUAGGCACUUUCUUAAUUAACCAUCAAAUUUUCAUUUUAUGCGAUUAAACCCUUUUUUUCAAAUUAAGCACACAAACAUAAAAUUAAUUCACGAAACUUUCACAUAUGUAAAUUCACACAUAAUUAACACAGAAAAUAAUAUUAAAAUAUUUUUCAGACUCGAUUUUGUGGUCCCAAAACCACUGUUCUGAUUAGGGUCAAAAUCGGGCUAUUACAACUCUCCCCCUCUUAGGGAUUUUCGUCCCCGAAAAUCUUACCUGUGAAUAGGUUUGGAUAACGCUCUUUCAUUGUAUCUUCUGAUUCCCAAGUUUCCUCCUCAACUCCGUGUUUUUGCCAUAGUACUUUGACUAACGAAAUUUUCUUAUUUCUCAAUUCUUUAAUCUCACGAGUCAGAAUAAAAAUCGGUUCCUCUUCAUAUGUCAUAUCAGAUUGAAUCUCAAUCUCUGUGGGACUAAUUACAUGUGAAGGAUUAGAUAGGUAUCUAUGGAGCAUCGAAACAUGGAAUACAUUGUGAAUCUUUUCUAGCUCAGGUGGCAACUGCAAUCUAUAAGCAACCAGCCCGAUACGCUCUAUAAUCUCAUAUGACCUAAUAAAUCUCAGACUCAAUUUCUUUUUACGAUCAAAUCUAAGUAUUUUCUUCCACUGUGAUACCUACAAAAAGACUUUAUCUCCAAUCUGAAACUCUAUAUCUUUUCUUUUCAAGUCUGCAUACAAUUUCUGACGAUUCAAUGUUGUUUUUUAGACUAUCGCGAAUCACUUUCACAUCAUAUAUUUCAAAUUCACACAUAGCUUCAAAUUUCAAAUCUCUUUAAUCUCACAACUAAAAUUCUUAUCUGACUUUCACUAUACAUCAUCCCUAGCUGAAACUGCUUAACUGUAUUAAAUUGUUUCCAUUUUCUACUCACAUUCUCUGAUGAUUUUAAUCCUGUGAAUCAUUUUCUCACAAAACUCAAUCCUGAAAUAACGGAGUUCGAUAAUUGCUUAUAAUAGCAAACAUCUUUCUUAGUUACUUUGCAAUUCUAAAACAUAGUGACAAAUAAAUAUUUCAAGAAUUUGGUUUGCGUUUCCUGAUUUCAAUGCAAAUUCAUACUCAUAGAUUACUGUAAUCUCUCUUAGAAUUACCAUAUAAAUUUUAAAUCUCAAUCCAAAACAAUGAUAACUGACACCAUAGACAGAUUUACCAACACAGAAACACAUAACUUAACUGUUUUAUCAAAAGAGAAAAUCUAUACUUACAGAGAGAUUUCUUCAGAUAGUUAACCAUAUUUAAGAUAACUUUAUCUUUUUCAAUGAAAAGACAAUCCUGAUACAAAAUUCAUCAACUCUCUAUUUCUAUAAUCAACAAAAUCAGAAAUAUCACAUUUCACACUCAUCAUCUAUAUCAUAUCUCUGACUGUUGUACAUCUUGUUAAUCCCGUAUGAACACCACUGAAAUUUUCUUGUAACAGUUGUUAUAUACAGAACCUUCCAAUAUGCACACUCUAUCUCGAAAUAACAAAUAAUCAUCAAUACCACAUCUAAGGUUCUAAGCCGGAAAUCAAUUUAUGUUGAACUCCUUUUUAACUUAUAAUUCGCUGACACAUUUCUAAAUUUCACAACUUCAUUAUAUAAACAUUUAUUUAACCUCUAAUUCAUCUAUCAACAGUUCAUUACGUGAUAAGAUCAAUCACGUAUUCAUCGCCCAAUCAAAAUAUCCGAAACUUUAAUCAUUUUCCUCGGAUAAGAAUCACUUACAGACUUAAAAGUUUUUCAACGAUUGAAACUAACCUUGCUUUGCCAAGUUCAAAUCUUUAUCUGACAUUAAACAUUUUAAACUCUUAUAAUCAUCAAAUAUUUCACAUAACUCUUUUUAUGCAGCUUUAACUAUAUAAAAUUAUAAGAUAUCUCUAUACACUCUUGUAUUGAAAUACAUUUCGAACCAUUCAUUAACAUGAGGAUGAAAAUCGUAAUCUCUUUAUUAAACUCAAACUGAACCAGAACUGAUAUUUUGGUCGGCAUUGUCUUCGGGCAAAAGAAAACUUCAACAAUCAAACUAACUUUAAUUUAUCACAACAUUUCCCAGAUAGGAUCAUUCCGAUAGAUAUAAUUCGGUAUCAAGUCUUCAAGAAUACAAGUUCUUCUUCCAGAUUAUCCCUCAAUUCACACAUGCUCAUUCAAAAUUUAUUUCCAUACAUAUGAAUAGAUUUAGACACAUAUAACUCAAUUAUCUUUUCAAAAAAAUAAUUCAAAUUCGACUAAACCACUGAAUCAGUCUUUUCGAAUGAAUCUUUUCUUCUCAUUGAUAAGGAUAACCCAGACAUAUUAUUUCAUAGAUUUAAUAUUAUUCUUCUAUCAUUUUCACUUUUAUCAAUGCUAAACCUUUAUGAGAACUAGAAAAGAGUUUAUAAUGAAGCUAUCUCAUAUAUUAUUCAUCGAAACUCUGAAUUAUACAGAAAUUACCUUAACCAAAUAGAAAUCAUUGUGCCUUAAUAAGAACAAUGUCUCAACCCUAUAAAUAGAUAUUAUCCCAACUGUUAAUGAAGCAUUUGGACACAGAGAAAAAUCAAAUAUGAUUUAAAUAGCAACCAUUGCAGAAGCAAAACUUCUAUAACUCUGGGGAUGGUACCACUAUACUCUCACAUUUCAAGUCAGAAAUUAAAAUCAUAAUAAACAUAAUCCUCUUUUCCAAAUAGUGAUCUCUUGCAGAUAAUCACGUGGAAUCAUAAGAAAACCAGAAUAGCGAAAUUUCAGCAUAUGGAGUCACAUAAGAUAUCUAAGAAAAAAAUUACAACCUAUAUAGAAUGAUAUAAAAUUCCAAUGAUAUCCUAGAAAAUGUCCAGAAAGAACGAUGUCAUUCUUAAAUACUGAAAUCCACAGUAACAAAAGCAAUAUAAUAUUCGCAUAUAUUCAACAGAACAAUAACCAGUAGAAAUAGAAUAUUGAUCUCAUUCAGAUUUUACCAUCGACUUUCGUAUCCACACAAUGAAACAAAUUAUCAGUGAAAGAGAUAACAAUGUCAAACAUAACCCAAACAAAUCAACCAUGCUUUCAUCUAUCAGUACAUUUAGUUAGCGUUCUCACACGAUAAGAAUUUUCUUUUUUUUUUUGAAUUGAAAAAAUCACAUAUACUUCUGAAGAUAAAUGUACACACAGAAUACCCAAAAAGAAUCAUAGUAAUUGCCCGACUAUAACCAUUGUACUCAACUAUCAACACAAUUCAAUCAUUAUUCCACUGUCUAAUUUUUUAUCAGAAAAUUUUCACAUUAUCCCAUCUCUAAAAGAAAUCAAUUCAGGAAAAACUUUCAAUUAAUACUAAUAACAUACCUGAAUACGCCAUUUAGUCGGAAUUAACUUCUUAUUUACCACUAACUCUACAUAAUCUGAAUAGUCUUCAGAACUAUCCAAUAUCUCUUUUCUGACCACAUUACUAAUCUUUCAAACACGGACUUCUAUAACUCUACACUUGUGAGCUUAUUCAAUCAAAAUCUUACAGAUUUCAUUAUAACCUUUCACUAAUAAGGGGGUGAGGAUGGUAAAGCCUCAAAUUUAACUUACACAUACAUGCACAUAACAUAUAUUAUCACAAAUAACCAAUUCAUUUUUAAAAUUCACAUUCUCAAAAAAUUUAAUAAACUUUUACUUUUAAUCAAUUUUUUUUCUUAACACUUUGUUCAUAUGUCAACUCAAAUCACUAAUUCACAACUAGAGCAUUUCAGAUACAAUCAUAACUCAAAUAUCAUAUCUCAUAUGCUCAUAUAAUUACAACAUUUAUCAAUAACAAUUUGUCAUACAAUUUGAUCAUUACCUUUAUGAGUCUUACCUCAUCACCAACACAUUUCUACUCAAAUAUUUCAGUAUUUACUUCUGUACUAUCAGAAUUAGCUCAGUUGGAAAUUUUAUCUAUCUCAUCAAAACAAAAUUUCGUCAGAGUUGGAAGAUAUCACACCAUCGCAGAUUAAAUAUGGCAUGUAUAGCUAGACUCACAUACGCUAUGGUAGUCCUACAACCGACUAAACCAUAGCUCUGAUACCAAAUAAAAUGUAACACCCCUAACCCGUAUCCGUCACCAGAUUAGGGUUACGAGGCAUUACCGAACAAGACGCAGUUUAGCACAAUCAUUUAUCUCUUUUCAUACACCAAAGAAUAACGAUACAUUUAUAACAUUAUCAAACUUGAAUAUCCCCAAUUUACUUAUUUUAAAUUCAAAUAUAUAAAAUGAUAAUUACAAUUCAAAUCAAUCAUACCUUACUAAGCAUGUAUCACAAAUAAACACAUUUCAAAAUUCAAACUAAUUCAAUUUAAACAUACAUCAAAGCUCAAUCGAACAUAUUCUAUAAUUAACAAAUUCGAACCAAACUUGUAUACAUCAGAGUCAUGUUAAAUUAUAUAAUACUUUCAAUAUUCGAUUUCCCUAAAUCCAUCGUAUUAAUGACAUUUUCAUAAUUAAAUCAUAUUCAAGCAUAUAUCUUCACUUUUCAUAUAUAGAAAAUAUGUCCGUACAUAAUUUCACUAUUUAAAUAUCAAACAUUGCAUUUCAUAACUUCUGUAUAUGUACAUAAUGAAACCAAUAUGUAUACAACUUAAUGUCCAAUCACAUUUACAACAUUAGUAACAUUAUAUUAUGGUCGUACAUACCUUUGAUGUCAUUAUAUUAUACACAUAUGACCAUUUCAAUGAAAUCAUUCAAUCAUAAACUAUAUACGCUCAAUACAAAUCAACUUAUCAUUUAAUCGACUAAUCCAAUAAAUUUAUAAAAGCUAAAUUCAAACUUGUAUUGCUCACUUAACUAUCAUUACCCGAAUUUGUAUGUAUCUUAUUCAUAAAUUUUAAAUCUACCUUGAAAUCAUUUAUAUAUAUCAUUUAAAAGACCAAAAACAUGCAUAUUUAUCUAUUACAAGUUUGCGCAUAUGAAUGCACCAUUUUAGCCAUAUCAAAAAAAAAUCCAUACAAUUCAUAUCAUUUUACAAAAAUAAAAUCGAAUAUUAAGUCCACUUGCAUGAGCAAAUCAUACCUUUAUUAAAUACUCCACAUUCCUAAUUUAUUUCAUAACAAAUUGACAUCCAUAAAUAACCUCAUAAUUUGUACAAGAUUUAGCCAUUAAAUCAUAAGCCAAAAUAUGUCAUUUCCGGGUUCACUUAAUUACUAAAUUACAUAACAAUACCUUAGCAAAGCAUAUCAAACAAUAUUCACAUAUAUUUACUUAUAAAUAAACCAUAGCCGAAACACUAAGACUAAAACCAAACAUAUCACACAUAUCAUAUAUAUAUAUAACACAUAACCAAGAUUAAUUAAGCUUGAAUAUCAUUUACCUUUAUUACCGAAGCACAUGACUAAAACACCAUAUAUAUAUACACACCAUGGCCAAUUCAGAUAUUAACAUAUUAUACCAAACUCACUUCACUUAUAUGCUUUAACUAAGCUCACCUAUGCCGAAUUAUUUACCACAUUCUUAACAAAACAUAUCAAACAUAAUUCACAUAAAUAAAUAUGCCAUAGCUGAAAUACCAAAAUCAACAUAUCUAUCACUUGAUCAAAAGUAUAAAAACCAUGCUUAACAAAAUAAAUGAGCCAUUUUUGCAUGGCUCAUAUUUACAUACCCAAAAAAUCAAACAUAUUAACUAGACUAUACAUGCCAUAAGUUUAAAUUCAAACUUAGUAAAAUAUCGAAAAUACUUGAUAGUGUGAUAGACUUCUCUGACGAUUCCCGUGCUCUUAACCAACUUCCAAAUCUAUAAAAUUGAAAGCGAUUACACACAGUAAGCUAUUAAAGCUUAGUAAGCCAUAAGCAAAUAAACAUUUAAUCAUUUACAUAAAUUAAGCUAGACAAUUAGUAAUAAAUCAUUAUAAUUUCACAUAUAAUUCAAUUUAUCAAUUUAUAUAUAUCAAAACUUAUAUAAUUUGUAAUAACUUCCCUCUUUACCGAAUAAUCAAUUGAACAUUAAUAUAUCCAAUCAUCACUUUCCUCAAUGCACAUAUACAUCAAAGGCCGAAUACAUAUAUAUUCAAAUAUGCAAUCACAUAAUUCAUAUUUCACAUAACUUCAUAUCAUCAAUUCAAGUAUACAACUUACCUUAUUUUCAAAUAGGUAAUCAACGAUCACAUACCUGGUCACUUAACCUGAUUUAUA